GACAGAGAGAGAGAGAGAGAGAGUAGUCUUCUUCACCAUGGAAGCCACCACCAUCCCUUUCUCAACCCUCACUUCCCGCCGUUUCUCUCUUAAUUCUUCUUCUUCUUCUUCUUCUUCACUUCCAAUCCACAAAACCCUCUCCUCUUCCAAUUCAACAAAUUCAACCACCAUUAGCUCUUCCUGGGCAGCCUCAACUCUCUCCGUUGCCUUCUCUUCCAGAAAUUCCUUCACCAGAGAGUUAUGGGGCUUGCUCAACUCCAAGGCAGAAAUGUUCGGCCACCUAACGAAUGGCCUCGAAUCAUCCUGGAACAAGCUCAAAGGAGAAGCUUUUCCCAACGACUCUCCUCUAUCUCUCUCUUCCUUUGCUAUGCUCAAAUCUGGUUCCACAAGGCUACCGAGGGCUUCAUCUAGGAAUACCAUUCUCCGUUGUGGUCGAUUUGAGCUCCGUUACACCAAGUUUCGACAGCAACGUGCUAACAUACAAAAAUCCCAAUUUUUGACAAUGGCUCCAAGCAAGAAGAAGAAGACACCACCAGAUGAUCACUCCAUUCACUCUUAUUCCAGUGAAAACAACCUCCCACCACCAGAUCCAGACGUAGGUAAGAUACACUGGAAGCGGGAACUAAGUGUCGAUCACAACAUUAAUGUGGAUUUGGUUGCAUUGGUUCAAACCUUAAGAAGAAAAAACUUACCUCAUGUUGCUCAGGAGAUUUUACAUGAGAUCAAUUCUGGAAGUCUUCCACUUGACAACUCUGCCUUGUCAGCUCUGAUGCUUUGCUAUGCUGAUAAUGGUCUUUUCCACGAAGCACAGGCAAUUUGGGAUGAAGUUUUAAACAGUUCUUUUAGGCCUAAUAUUCAUAUAAUUUCAAAACUCAUUGAAGCCUAUGGUAGGAUGGGACGUUUUGAUGAUGUGACCAGAAUUCUGCAUCAAGCAAGUUUGAGAGACUCUAACUUGCUACCUGAGAUUUAUGUAGUGGCUCUCUCUUGCUUUGGAAAGCAAGGACAGCUUGAGCUGAUGGAAAAUACACUUAGAGAGAUGGGUUCAAGGGGUUUCUCAGUAGAUUCUGCCAUCGGAAAUGCUUAUAUCAUAUAUUACAGCUUGUUUGGUUCUCUGACUGAGAUUGAAGCUGCAUAUGGCCGUCUUAAAAGGUCUAGAAUUCUCAUAGAAAAAGACGGAAUAAGGGCAAUGUCAUUUGCCUACAUAAAGGAAAAGAAAUUUUAUAGAUUAGGUGAGUUUCUGAGGGAUGUGGGUCUUGGUAGGAGAAACGUGGGAAAUCUUCUGUGGAAUCUUCUGCUUCUAUCAUAUGCUGCGAAUUUCAAAAUGAAAACCUUGCAGAGAGAAUUUUUGAGAAUGGUGGAAGCCGGAUUCCAUCCUGAUCUUACAACAUUUAACAUUCGAGCUCUAGCUUUUUCAAAAAUGUCUUUGUUUUGGGAUCUCCAUUUAAGCAUUGAACAUAUGAAGCAUGAACAAGUUGUCCCUGAUCUUGUGACUUAUGGUUGCAUUGUUGAUGCUUACUUGGACAAAAGACUGGGAAUGAAUUUGGACUUUGCUUUAAGUAAAAUGAAUGUACAUGCUUCUCCACAGGUAUUUACGGAUCCAUUUGUUUUUGAGGUUUUGGGAAAAGGAGGCUUUCACUCAAGCUCAGAGGCAUUUUUGGAGUUUAAAAGGAAGAACUGGACUUAUAAGGAGCUGAUCUCAACCUAUCUCAAGAAGAAGUAUCGGAGUAACCAAUUGUUUUGGAAUUACUGAUGAGUGCAUUUUGGGUAAUGAUUUGUGUGCAUAUACUCUAACCAGUUGCUUACUGAUGAUAUGUCAGCUCUUAACUGCUUAGGCUUUUAGAUCAACAAGCGAUCUAUGGGCCUGCAGCAAUAACUGAGUUCUAUGCCUACACCACAAUUCAGGUCUUAUGAUCUUCCAUGCACUAAUUCAUCCAGAACAUAUGGAAGGAGGACCAAAUGGGCAGAAGAUAUGCAAUGGAAAUGUAGAAUGGAACACCAUAUGGAAAAGAUUUCUCUAAUUGAGACCCCCAUAAAUACUGCACAUGGCCUUUGUGGCAAGACUGCAUCCAUGGCCAACCAUUAUCCACCUCACCCAUGAUCCAAAACUCCAAUCAACUACAGGUUCAGUGGAAACAGCCCCUUUCUAGGUUGUUCAAGGUCAGGUAGUAUGAAGAUGAAGGCUGACAUGGAUGAAUCUUCACCGAAUGCUACCAUGCUUGCAACACAAGAUGUUGCAUACCAAUGCAAUGUCUUGGGUCUUUCCCCCCUUAAUUUUUAUAUGCUGAAUUAUAUAAUGUUUCAAGCUCCAGGCUACAUGAGGGAACAAAACUAAGAUCCCUGGACCAGGUGCUCAGUCUACAAUCAGAGCUCUUGCUCGUUCAGGCUUGAAAAUUGGUCAUAUAUGUUGAGAAUCUCUGUUGCCUUAGUUGUGUACUUUUACAAGUAUUUGGUUUUUUGUAUAUGAUUACUAUAAUAGUGCUACUGACUGGAUUUUCUUUAACUUGCGAUCUUCCUUGUAUGGAACAGGUGAGAAAUUCAAGCUAUUGAAUUUGUUGUUAAUUAAGGAAAUAUUGCCCUAAUUACUUUGUCUUUUAGACAUCUUAUGUGUUUUUCGUAUCUUUCUUGGACCUUUGUUAAGAUCAAAUGUUCCUGCCAUUGAGAACCUGCAUUCAAUUCAUCAUUGGAUAUUGCUGUGCAGUGCAUGUCACAAUGCUGUAUUUGUUAAACUGAAAUUUAUUUCGUUUUUUCUUUUUCUUUUCCUUUUCUAAUAGCCCAAAUUUGCCCCAAAUCUUCUGAGCUGUAUUCCUAACAACAGUAAAGGGUAACUUCUUAUCCAGGAAAUUGCUCACCAAAUAAUCUUUCUAUUUCAAACAGCCUUCUUAUUCAACAUUUUUUCUACUCUCAACCAUAACAGGGGGAUGAUAAUCAAAAUUCAUAUGCUUCUCAAUCAUACCGGAUUGAGUAA